CCUACGGGAGGCAGCAGUGGGGAAUUUUGCGCAAUGCUCGUAAGAGUGACGCAGCGACGCCGCGUGAAUGACGAAGGCCUUCGGGUCGUAAAGUUCUUUCGACAGGGAAGAAAAUGCCUAUAAGUAACUGUGUAUGUAUUGACGGUACCUGUAUAAGCAGCCCCGGCUAACUCCGUGCCAGCAGCCGCGGUAAUACGGAGGGGGCGAGCGUUGUGCGGAGUGGGGGGGCGUAAAGAGCACGUAGGCGGUGUUGUAAGUCAUUAGUCAAAGACUAGAGCUCAACUUUAGUAAGGCUAGUGAUACUAUAAUACUAGAGUAUAAGAGAGGAUUGCAGAAUUCCUGGUGUAGCGGUGAAAUGCGUAGAUAUCAGGAGGAAUACCGUUAGCGAAGGCGGCAAUCUGGAUGGAAACUGACGCUGAGGUGCGAAAGCGUGGGUAGCAAACAGGAUUAGAUACCCUUGUAGUC
rnacentral:rRNA from 1 species